CACGGAUAAUAAUAUUUUGUUAUGUAUUAACUUAUUUGACCUACAGAAGGUGAAGAAUUACCCAAACAGCAUUGUAUACAUUGUUUUAUUUCCUAUGUUCCUAAAUGAUCUGUUCAAAGUUGUUUUAUUUAGAAGCACCUCAACCCACUUCAGAGAAAGCACCACUCAACUGCCCAUACUGCACUGUGUACAAUUAAAACAACAAAAUUAGCCUGUAUAUCAUUUAACACAAAGAAUAAUUACUCUCCUUCUCGUUUUGCUAUAGCAUGACAUAAUACACUGACACUUUGCUAAUUGAUUAUUGACUAAAUGCCUUCUCUGCUUAGGUAGAGCACAGUAUAGACUACAUCUACAGAUUAAUGGAUACAUUUUCUUAAUAUGAUCCAAAAAGGGCUUGACUUAAUAAACAUGUCACUUAGGGAUCAGUCACCUCCCAACAUUUCUACUGUAAUAUUUACUGAUCCCCUAUAUAUAACAAAUAUGCAUUUAUUUGGUGUAACAGUAAUAUGAGAUCUAGAAAUUAACACCUCUAUAUUCUGCAAUUGGACACCUUCGUUUUAGCUCCCUGUCCAUCACUGUUAAAAGCUGUGUCCUGGCAGUAGAGGAACAGAAAGCAGACAGAGGAGAAGAAGAAUUGGACAACCUUUCAAUUUCCCCUCUCAAUUCGCAAUGUGACCCCUAGCUGCAUCUAGACUGAACUGCAUUGCAAUGUCUUUUGUUAAAUCUGUAAAAUAACGCUUAAAAGAAUGGAACAUCAAGUGAAAAAAGUCAACACAAGGAGCAGGUGAUUUUAAUGUUUUACUUAAUAUUGUUAUUGAGAAGUGACAGUUUCCCUUUAAGGGUGUUUAAGAAAAUAUAUUUAUCAAUUUCUAGUUCUGUUUUUCGCAGCAAGAUAUGGCUUU